rnacentral:misc_RNA from 1 species
UUGAUUGGACCGAACUCUAGCUUACAUGGGCCGAAAACUGCAUUUGUGAGUGAGACCAGGAAGAGGCAUUGGUCGGACCCGCGUGGUUCUCCCGUGUCCUCUCUCUCUAGUGUCGACGAGUGGGCGAACGCCGCCACCGCCUUACGCCAGUCGCCAGGCGCUCAGGUUUUCAUCUUCGGGCCCUUCACCGGCGACCAGCACCCAACAGGCUUUGAUGAUUGCUGUACAAGGAUGAUAUGGCCUCCCGCCCAAAGCUGUCUGGUAUUCAGAAGCAGUAAAGAAAUGAGGUCCAUUCAUUGCCAGAACAAAGUAUCAUCAUGA